rnacentral:rRNA from 2 species
UACGUAGGGUGCGAGCGUUAAUCGGAAUUACUGGGCGUAAAGCGUGCGCAGGCGGCUUUGCAAGACAGAUGUGAAAUCCCCGGGCUCAACCUGGGAACUGCAUUUGUGACUGCAAGGCUAGAGUACGGCAGAGGGGGAUGGAAUUCCGCGUGUAGCAGUGAAAUGCGUAGAUAUGCGGAGGAACACCGAUGGCGAAGGCAAUCCCCUGGGCCUGUACUGACGCUCAUGCACGAAAGCGUGGGGAGCAAACAGG